GCACUGGUGAGGAAUCCCAUAAUAGGACGAAACGGCCGUCCAGUAC
rfam:Schistosoma mansoni, Puerto Rico, WGS project CABG01000000 data, contig: 0164